AUGAACGCUAGCGGCAGGCUUAACACAUGCAAGUCGAGGGGCAGCGGGGAGUAGCAAUACUCCGCCGGCGACCGGCGCACGGGUGCGUAACGCGUAUGCAACCUACCUUUAACAGGGGCAUAACACUGAGAAAUUGGUACUAAUUCCCCAUAACAUUCGAGAAGGCAUCUUCUUGGGUUAAAAACUCCGGUGGUUAAAGAUGGGCAUGCGUUGUAUUAGCUAGUUGGUGAGGUAACGGCUCACCAAGGCGACGAUACAUAGGGGGACUGAGAGGUUAACCCCCCACAUUGGUACUGAGACACGGACCAAACUCCUACGGGAGGCAGCAGUGAGGAAUAUUGGUCAAUGGACGCAAGUCUGAACCAGCCAUGCCGCGUGCAGGAAGACGGCUCUAUGAGUUGUAAACUGCUUUUGUACUAGGGUAAACGCUCUUACGUGUAGGAGCCUGAAAGUAUAGUACGAAUAAGGAUCGGCUAACUCCGUGCCAGCAGCCGCGGUAAUACGGAGGAUCCAAGCGUUAUCCGGAUUUAUUGGGUUUAAAGGGUGCGUAGGCGGUUUGAUAAGUUAGAGGUGAAAUACCGGGGCUCAACUCCGGAACUGCCUCUAAUACUGUUGAACUAGAGAGUAGUUGCGGUAGGCGGAAUGUAUGGUGUAGCGGUGAAAUGCUUAGAGAUCAUACAGAACACCGAUUGCGAAGGCAGCUUACCAAACUAUAUCUGACGUUGAGGCACGAAAGCGUGGGGAGCAAACAGGAUUAGAUACCCUGGUAGUCCACGCAGUAAACGAUGAUAACUCGUUGUCGGCGAUACACAGUCGGUGACUAAGCGAAAGCGAUAAGUUAUCCACCUGGGGAGUACGUUCGCAAGAAUGAAACUCAAAGGAAUUGACGGGGGCCCGCACAAGCGGAGGAACAUGUGGUUUAAUUCGAUGAUACGCGAGGAACCUUACCCGGGCUUGAAAGUUAGUGACGAUUCUGGAAACAGGAUUUCCCUUCGGGGCACGAAACUAGGUGCUGCAUGGUUGUCGUCAGCUCGUGCCGUGAGGUGUCGGGUUAAGUCCCAUAACGAGCGCAACCCCUACCGUUAGUUGCCAUCAGGUCAAGCUGGGCACUCUGGCGGGACUGCCGGUGUAAGCCGAGAGGAAGGUGGGGAUGACGUCAAAUCAGCACGGCCCUUACGUCCGGGGCUACACACGUGUUACAAUGGUAGGUACAGAGGGCCGCUACCCCGCGAGGGAUGCCAAUCUCGAAAGCCUAUCUCAGUUCGGAUCGGAGGCUGAAACCCGCCUCCGUGAAGUUGGAUUCGCUAGUAAUCGCGCAUCAGCCAUGGCGCGGUGAAUACGUUCCCGGGCCUUGUACACACCGCCCGUCAAGCCAUGGAAGCUGGGGGUGCCUGAAGUUCGUGACCGCAAGGAGCGACCUAGGGCAAAACCGGUGACUGGGGCU
rnacentral:rRNA from 1 species